rnacentral:rRNA from 1 species
UAAGGAAUAUUGGUCAAUGGACGCAAGUCUGAACCAGCCAUGCCGCGUGGAGGAUGAAGGCCCUCUGGGUUGUAAACUUCUUUUAUGGGGGACGAAAUCACUUAUUCUUAAGUGUCUGACGGUACCCCAGGAAUAAGCACCGGCUAACUCCGUGCCAGCAGCCGCGGUAAUACGGAGGGUGCAAGCGUUAUCCGGAUUCACUGGGUUUAAAGGGUGCGUAGGAGGGUGAGUAAGUCAGUGGUGAAAUCUUCGAGCUUAACUCGGAAACUGCCGUUGAUACUACUUGUCUUGAAUACCGUGGAGGUGAGCGGAAUAUGUCAUGUAGCGGUGAAAUGCUUAGAUAUGACAUAGAACACCAAUUGCGAAGGCAGCUCACUACACGAAUAUUGACUCUGAGGCACGAAAGCGUGGGGAUCAAACA